GAUGAACGCUAGCGGCAGGCUUAAUACAUGCAAGUCGUGGGGCAGCAGGACUGUAGCAAUACAGUUGCUGGCGACCGGCAAACGGGUGCGGAACACGUACGCAACUUACCCUGAACUGGGGGAUAGCCCGGGGAAACCCGGAUUAAUACCCCGUAAUAUAAUGGAGUGGCAUCACUUUAUUAUUAAAGCUCCGGCGGUUCGGGAUGGGCGUGCGGCUGAUUAGGUAGUUGGUUGAGGUAACGGCUCACCAAGCCUACGAUCAGUAACUGGUGUGAGAGCACGACCAGUCACACGGGCACUGAGACACGGGCCCGACUCCUACGGGAGGCAGCAGUAAGGAAUAUUGGGCAAUGGAGGCAACUCUGACCCAGCCAUGCCGCGUGGAGGAGGAAGGCCCUCUGGGUUGUAAACUUCUUGUAUGGGGGACGAAACCUGUGUAUUCUUACGCAGUUGACGGUACCCUAGGAAUAAGCACCGGCUAACUCCGUG
rnacentral:rRNA from 1 species